AGCCUGAUGGAGCACGCCGCGUGAGCGAGGAAGGUCUUCGGAUUGUAAAGCUCUGUUGUUAGGGAAGAACAAGUGUCGUUCGAAUAGGGCGGCACCUUGACGGUACCUAACGAGAAAGCCCCGGCUAACUACGUGCCAGCAGCCGCGGUAAUACGUAGGGGGUCGAGCGUUGUCCGGAAUUAUUGGGCGUAAAGCGCGCGCAGGCGGUCUCUUAAGUCUGAUGUGAAAGCCCACGGCUCAACCGUGGAGGGUCAUUGGAAACUGGGAGACUUGAGUGCAGGAGAGGGAAGCGGAAUUCCACGUGUAGCGGUGAAAUGCGUAGAGAUGUGGAGGAACACCAGUGGCGAAGGCGGCUUCCUGGCCUGUAACUGACGCUGAGGCGCGAAAGCGUGGGGAGCGAACAGGAUUAGAUACCCUGGUAGUCCACGCCGUAAACGAUGAGUGCUAGGUGUUGGGGGUUUCAACACCCUCAGUGCUGAAGUUAACACAUUAAGCACUCCGCCUGGGGAGUACGGCCGCAAGGCUGAAACUCAAAGGAAUUGNCGGGGGCCCGCACAAGCGGUGGAGCAUGUGGUUUAAUUCGAAGCAACGCGAAGAACCUUACCAGGACUUGACAUCCUCUGACCGCCCUAGAGAUAGGGUCUUCCCCUUCGGGGGACAGAGUGACAGGUGGUGCAUGGUUGUCGUCAGCUCGUGUCGUGAGAUGUUGGGUUAAGUCCCGCAACGAGCGCAACCCUUGACCUUAGUUGCCAGCAUUCAGUUGGGCACUCUAAGGUGACUGCC
rnacentral:rRNA from 1 species